GACGAACGCUGGCGGCGUGCUUAACACAUGCGAGUCGAACGGAAAGGCCUUGUUUGCGGGGUACUCGAGUGGCGAACGGGUGAGUAACACGUGGGUGACCUGCCCUGCACUUUGGGAUAAGUUCGGGAAACUGGGUCUAAUACCGGAUAGGAGCCCCUUCUAGAGUGAUGGUUGGGAAGAUUUUUCGGUGUGGGAUGAGCUCGCGGCCUAUAAGCUUGUUGGUGGGGUAAUGGCCUACCAAGGCGGUGACGGGGAGGCGGCCUUGGAGGGUGGACGGGCACAUUUGGGCUUGGGUACGGGCCAGGCUCCUACCGGGAGCAAGAAGUGGGGAUAUUUCACAAUUGGCGCGAGCCUUGAGCAACGACGCCGCGGUGGGGAUUACCGGCUUCGGGUUGUUAACUCCUUUCGCUAGAUGCGGAACUUUUGGGUGCGGGACCUAGGUAAAGAACACCGGCUAACUACGUG
rnacentral:rRNA from 1 species